UACGGAGGGUGCAAGCGUUGUCCGGAUUUAUUGGGUUUAAAGGGUGCGUAGGCGGCUCUGUAAGUCAGCGUUGAAAUAUGGCAGCUUAACUGUCAGACUGGCAUUGAUACUGCAGGGCUUGAGUGAAGUCGUGGUUGGCGGAAUUGACGGUGUAGCGGUGAAAUGCAUAGAUAUCGUCAAGAACACCUAUUGCGAAGGCAGCUAACUAGACUUUAACUGACGCUGAGGCACGAAAGCGUGGGGAUCAAACAGG
rnacentral:rRNA from 1 species